rnacentral:rRNA from 1 species
AACGAACGCUGGCGGCAGGCUUAACACAUGCAAGUCGAACGCUCCGCAAGGAGAGUGGCAGACGGGUGAGUAACGCGUGGGAACGUACCUUUCAGUUCGGAAUAACUCAGGGAAACUUGUGCUAAUACCGGAUACGCUCGUAAGAGGAAAGAUUUAUCGCUGAAAGAUCGGCCCGCGUUGGAUUAGCUAGUUGGUGGGGUAAUGGCCUACCAAGGCGACGAUCCAUAGCUGGUAUGAGAGGAUGAUCAGCCACACUGGGACUGAGACACGGCCCAGACUCCUACGGGAGGCAGCAGUGGGGAAUAUUGGACAAUGGGCGAAAGCCUGAACCAGCCAUGCCGCGUGAGUGAUGAAGGCCCUAGGAUUGUAAAGCUCUUUCACCGAUGAAGAUAAUGACGGUAGUCGGAGAAGAAGCCCCGGCUAACUUCGUGCCAGCAGCCGCAGUAA